AUUGAACGCUGGCGGCAGGCCUAACACAUGCAAGUCGAGCGAGCGGCGGACGGGUGCGUAAUGUCUGGGAAACUGCCUGAUGGAGUGGGUUAACCACUGGAAACGGUAGCUAAUACCGCUUACCAUCAGACGUGCCCAGAUGGGUUUAGCUAGUAGGUGGGGUAACGGCUCACCUAGGCGACGAUCCCUAGCUGGUCUGAGAGGAUGGCCAGCCAAACUGGAAAUGAGACCUGGGCCAAGCUCCGACGGGAGGAAGCAGGGGGGAAUAUUUCACAAAGGGCGCAAGCCUGAUGCAGCCAUGCCGCGUGUGUGAAGAAGGCCUUCGGGUUGUAAAGCACUUUCAGCGGGGAGGCGUUACCCGCAGAAGAAGCACCAGCUAACUCCGUGCCAGCAGCCGCGGUAAAUC
rnacentral:rRNA from 1 species